rnacentral:lncRNA from 1 species
CUCUUUCAGUUCUCCUGAUCUGCCCCCUGUCUUUCUUAAGAACACCUAGAGGAGGCAGACUCUCCUUAUCUGUGUAUCUCCUUAUCUCCAUAUCUGUGGCUCCCAAGGAUUCUAAGCUGUCACACUAGCCCAUACAUGGUCUUUAAGUAUUUGUUAAAAUUUAGGGGAUUUUCCUCUCACUUUUUGGCUGCUACUCUUCCUCCUGUACUCUGCCCAAAGCAAAAAAGGUCUGUAGGAGCUGUGCUUCUUGGCUUUCUAUAUCCUAAGUGGAACUGGAACUCAUUGAUUGCAUUUUUGUUGUCAACUCUUUUUUUUUUGAGGAAGAUUAGCCCUGAAUUAACUACUGUCAAUCCUCCUCUUUUUGCUGAGGAAGACUGGUCCUGAGCUAACAUCUGUACCCAUCUUCCUCUACUUUAUACAUGGGACACCUACCACAGCAUGGCUUUUGCCAAGCAGUGCCAUGUCCGCACCCAGGGUCUGAACUGGCAAACCCCAGGCUGCCGAGAAGUGGAACAUGUGAACUUAAUCACUGUGCCACUGUGCCGGCCCUGUUGUCAACUCUUGUUACUUGACAGCAAAUUGCUCUGCAAUUUGUUCAGUAGGUUCAAAGAGAUAAAACACAAGAUUGAUAAUUAUGGAAACCUUAAAAAGGAACCGAAUCCCAAACCAAAAACAUAUAGUAGUGGAAAUUAACUCAGUGGAAGUGUUUUAUAGCAAAUAAGACAUCAACGAAGAGAUAUUUAAGAUUAUAAAGAAGAAUAUCUCUAGAAGGAAACAUGGAGAGAAACGAGUUUGGAAAUACAGGUGAGGGAUAAGAGAUACAGGAUGCAGUAAGAAGAUUUGAUAUAAAUGUAUUUAGAGUCCCUGAAGCAAGGGAGAGAGAAAAUGGGACAGAAGCAAUUUUUGAGAAGAUAACAGCUGAGAAUUUUCCACAACUGGUGAAAAACAUUGUCGCGGAUUAAGAAUUUAAAACAAGUCAGAAAAUCUAGGCACGUUCAUAAUAAAUGAAAACCAAAGAGAAAAUCCUUCAAAAUAGCUAGAGAAAAAAGACAUUACCUUGGAAAGAGCAAUAAUUAAACUUAUUGCUGGUUUCUCAAGAGAAAUAAUGAAAGCCAGAAGACAAAUGGAAUAUUUUCAAAGUGCUGAAAGAAAGUAACUGACAAGCUAGAGUUUUAUGCCCAGCAAAAAAUGUUCCUCAAAAUUAAAAGAGAAUUAAAGGCAUUUCUGGACAUAAAGACUGAGAGAUUUAUCAUGAGCAGGCCUGCAUUAAAGGAAAUACUUAAGAUAGUUCUUCAGGCAGAAGUAAAAAGAACCUAGAUGGAAACUCAGAGAUAUAAGAAGAAAAGGUUGAUGAAGAAGGUAAAAAUAUGUGGAUAGAUCUAAAUAAAUAUUGACCAUAUACAAUAAUGUCUGUGGGUUUUUAAAAUAUGUAUAUGUAUAUAUAGAUUGAAAACACAACAAUGGCAUAAAAGUCAAGAGGGGAUUCUUGGAGUUAAAAUGUUUUAAGAUCAUUGCAUUAUCUUGAAAGAAGGUUAUUUCUUUAGGCUGCUCCUGAAAAUAGAAUUGACUGUCAAGUGGGUGUGCACUGGUAAAGGAUUUUGUUUUGUUUUUUGUUUUUUUUUUUGCUUUUUGUCCCCAAAUCCUCCCAGUACACAGUUGUAUAUUUUAGUUGUGGGUCUUUCUAGUUGUGGCAUGUGGGACGCCACCUCAGCAUGGCCUGACGAGCAGUGCCAUGUCCACGUCAAGGAUCCGAAUCGUUGAAACCCUGGGCCGCUGAAGCCGAGCAUGCAAACUUAACCACUCGGCCACAGGGCCGGCCCCGAUUUUGUUAAGUUGGAUUGAAGAUGGUUUCACUGAGGAUUAGCACUCCCCAGCCGAUUCCCCUGAUGGAACAUUUGAAGCAGCAAAUUUCUAUACCUGGGCCACCGCCAGGCAGCAAUAACAACCUUCAGAAGCAAACCUGUUGGUCUCGUCAGCACUCAGAUUGCACUGCUUUUUGUGAAGCCCCCGUGUGCUCUAAUGGUGAUGGAGAUCUCGCCUGCCAUGCAGACCACGGAAGGAAAAUUGGAGGGAGCUUGGGUGUGCGUCUGGAGAAUAGCACUGUGAUGCCUCAGCUGAAGUUUUUGAAGCACUGCACCGGGGUCUGCUCUGUUUACAAGGAGAAGCUCAUUUUCAAACAGUAAACUCAUUUCCUUGGGAAAUUCUUCCUUUUGUACUGAGGAGAAAGGGAAAAAAGAAAAAAUUGGAGUCUUCUGGGAGGCUCUUUGAGGCUGACGAGCGACGCCUCUCAGUGGAGAGAUGGAAGGACUUCUUAGGCCACCUUUACCUGGGACGUGUAGGAGACCAGGCAUCCACGCCUUCUGAGUGUCCGUGAACCCCCUAAAGUUGUACACAAAAUUUGGGGUGCAAAUGUGAUUUUUUUCUGAAAAAAUGGUCCAGAGCUUUCAUCAGGUUCUCAGAGGAUUCUUUGCUCAUAAAAGGUUAAGGUCCACUGGGUUGGGCCUGUGUUUUCUCAAAGUGUUUGAAGUCAGAAGAUGACCUGCAACAGGACCACUGGGGGAGCUGGUUAAAAAUUCAUAUUCUGGGGCCCCACCCCCAGUCUUCUGAAUUAGAAUCUCUAGGGGGAUGGCCUGGGACUCUGAAUCUUUAACUACUUCUCUGAUUUGGUUAUUUGGUGAAAUUUCUGAAUUAGCUAGGUUUCAAAUGUUUAACAUCACCUGUUAGAAUAAGAUCAACAAUCACAGUGUAGGGAAGUACUUACAUUUACCCAAAUAGGCCAGCUCAACUACUUACUAGCUGUGUAACCUUGGCAAACUGUGAAUCUCUCUGAGCCUUAGUUCCCUCAUCUGCAAAUAAGGGGCCACGUAAUUUGUCUGUUUUGAGAUGAUAUUGCCUAAUACAUUGUAGGAGUCCAAGAAAUAUUAUUUACUAUUCAUAGCUUCUCUUAAACACCAAGUAUUCUCCAAACUCUCCAGGUCUAAUGUUUCUUUUUUUGAGUGCUUUAUGAGGCUUUUUUUCAUAAAGGGAUUGUCAAAAAAUGAAACAAAACAGAUUAAUCAUUUUCUACAAUGAUCCACUAGCCAUGUGUAAAGGGGUUUUGUUAUGCCGUCAAAUAUGCCUGAACUGUAAACUAUAAACUGAAAUUUUGUCUCAACCUAACAGAAAAAUUAGCAACAUUUCUAUUCUGCAGGUUCUACCAUAGUGAUUUUAGCAAAUGGAAAGCAUAAAUACCAGAACUGACCAAUAAGGACAAAGUCUUCCGUGCUUAAUAAUCACAGUAUUGACAGUGUUUGAUUUAAUUGAAAAUCUACUCACUAGUACAUCUUCAGGAGCAAACAGCAAAAAGGAGAAAAAAAGAAAUGCCUAUUUUUGUAAAACCAGUUGUAAAAUCCUGCUUGGUAUGAACAUGCUCCCUGACCCCACCCCCAUGCACACACACUGGCUUGUUUUGAGCAAAUUCCUCCCUUCUGGUGAUUUUGCAACUCUAUUCUACCACAGCUGUAUGUUUUCUACGAUUGGAAAGGCAUUUGCACAAAUGUUCAUUCUUACAUACCAAGGAAUAUUUACCCUGGUUCGUGAUGUAAGCAGAAAAUCUGAAGGAAAUACGAUGCCUAAAUAAAAACAGC